rnacentral:rRNA from 1 species
GUGAACGCUGGCGGUAGGCCUAACACAUGCCAGUCGAACGGCAGCACAGUAAGAGCUUGCUCUUACGGGUGGCGAGUGGCGGACGGGUGAGGAAUACAUCGGAAUCUACUUUUUCGUGGGGGAUAACGUAGGGAAACUUACGCUAAUACCGCAUACGACCUACGGGUGAAAGCAGGGGAUCUUCGGACCUUGCGCGAUUGAAUGAGCCGAUGUCGGAUUAGCUAGUUGGCGGGGUAAAGGCCCACCAAGGCGACGAUCCGUAGCUGGUCUGAGAGGAUGAUCAGCCACACUGGAACUGAGACACGGUCCAGACUCCUACGGGAGGCAGCAGUGGGGAAUAUUGGACAAUGGGCGCAAGCCUGAUCCAGCCAUACCACGUGGGUGAAGAAGGCCUUCGGGUUGUAAAGCCCUUUUGUUGGGAAAGAAAAGCAGCAGGUUAAUACCCCGCUGUUCUGACGGUACCCAAAGAAUAAGCACCGGCUAACUUCGUG